rnacentral:rRNA from 1 species
ACGCUCGACACCUACGGGAGGUAGCAGUGGGGAAUAUUGCACAAUGGGGGAAACCCUGAUGCAGCAACGCCGCGUGAAGGAAGACGGUUUUCGGAUUGUAAACUUCUGUUCUUAGUGAAGAUAGUGACGGUAGCUAAGGAGCAAGCCACGGCUAACUACGUGCANNCGCGNGUAUNGNGGCGGNGNGACGAGC